GGGCGAUUAACUCAGCUGGUAGAGUGUCUUCUUGACGUGGAGAAAGUCAGGGGUUCGAGUCCCUUAUCGCCCACCA
rnacentral:tRNA from 1 species